rfam:Arabis alpina cultivar Pajares chromosome 1, whole genome shotgun sequence.
AUGAAGAUAGCAUAUUAAGAUAGCCAAGGAGAACUGCCUGAAUUCCUAAACCCACAAGACUCAUCAGCCGAUUGAAUCAUUGAGAAUAAUCAGGUGUCGGCAAGUCAUCCUUGGCUACUAGAUAUCAACUAUCUUCU